GGGGAAUCUUGCGCAAUGGGGGCAACCCUGACGCAGCCAUACCGCGUGAGUGAUGAAGGUCUUCGGAUUGUAAAGCUCUUUCGGCGGGGACGACGAUGACGGUAACCGCAAAAGAAGUCACGGCUAACUUCGUGCCAGCAGCCGCGGUAAUACGAAGGUGGCGAAUGUUGCUCGGAUUCACUGGGCGUAAAGCGUCUGUAGGUGGCUUGUUAAGUUAGAGGUGAAAGCCCCGCGCUCAACGUGGGAACUGCCUUUAAAACUGGCGAGCUUGAGAGUAUCAGAGGAAGGCGGAAUAACUGGUGUAGAGGUAAAAUUCAUAGAUAUCAGUUGGAACAUCCAUGGCGAAGGCAGCUUUCUGGGGUAUUUCUGACACUGAGAGACGAAAGCGUGGGGAGCAAACA
rnacentral:rRNA from 1 species